UGCCCGGCCCGGGGCUGCGGCGGGGAGGAGCCUGAGCGGAACGGAGCGGAACGGAGCGGGGCGAGCGGCCGGUACCG
rnacentral:miRNA from 12 species